rnacentral:rRNA from 1 species
GUUUUUGUUCAUAUAGCCAAAAACACGACAUCCCGUCCGAUCUGUCAAGUUAAGCAACGUUGAGCUUGGUUAGUACUAGGAUCGGAGAAUAAAACUAUUAAAUCU